rnacentral:rRNA from 1 species
AGAGUUUGAUCCUGGCUCAGAACGAACGCUGGCGGCGUGCCUAACACAUGCAAGUCGAACGUGAUUGGAAGCUUGCUUCCAUGAAAGUGGCGCACGGGCGAGUAACGCGUAGAUAAUCUACCUGAUGAUCCGGGAUAACACUUCGAAAGGGGUGCUAAUACCUGAUAAGCCCACGGGGUCUUCGGACUCUGCGGGAAAAGGGGGGGACCUUUAUCGGCCUUCCGUCAUCAGAUGAGUCUGCGUACCAUUAGCUAGUUGGUAGGGUAAAGGCCUACCAAGGCGACGAUGGUUAGCUGGUCUGAGAGGAUGAUCAGCCACACUGGAACUGAGACACGGUCCGGACUCCUACGGGAGGCAGCAGUGGGGAAUUUUGCGCAAUGGACGAAAGUCUGACGCAGCAACGCCGCGUGGGUGAUGAAGGUCUUCGGAUUGUAAAACCCUGUCGUCAGGGACGAAGGUUGGGAUCCUAAUACGAUUUCAGCUUGACGGUACCUGGAGAGGAAGCCCCGGCUAACUCUGUGCCAGCAGCCGCGGUAAUACAGAGGGGGCAAGCGUUAUUCGGAAUUAUUGGGCGUAAAGGGCGCGUAGGCGGUUUUGUAAGUAGGAUGUGUAAUCCCCGAGCUCAACUUGGGAACUGCAUCCUAGACUGCAAGGCUAGAGUACUGGAGAGAGUGGUAGAAUUCCACGUGUAGCGGUGAAAUGCGUAGAGAUGUGGAGGAAUACCAGUGGCGAAGGCGGCCACCUGGACAGUAACUGACGCUGAGGCGCGAAAGUGUGGGGAGCAAACAGGAUUAGAUACCCUGGUAGUCC